GCCUUUUGGCUCGGUGCACUUCCUGGUUGACGGGCCAACAUCGAUUUUGGCCGGCGGAUAAAGGCUUUGGGAAUGUGGCUCCUCCGGGAGUGUUAUAGCCCAUUGUGUAAUACCCUGUGGUGGACUGAGGUUCGCGCAUCUGCAAGGAUGCUGGCGUAAUGGUCAUCAGCGA
rnacentral:rRNA from 1 species